UACGUAGGUGGCAAGCGUUGUCCGGAUUUACUGGGCGUAAAGAGCGCGCAGGCGGUCGUGCAAGUCGCGUGUGAAAGCCCCCGGCUCAACCGGGGAGGGUCGUCGGGGACUGGGACACUUGAGGGCGGCAGGGGCUGGUGGAAUCCCCGGUGUAGUGGUGAAAUGCGCAGAUAUCGGGAGGAACACCUAUGGCGAAGGCAGCUCGCUGGGACGUUACUGACGCUGAGACGCGAAAGCGUGGGGAGCAAACAGG
rnacentral:rRNA from 1 species